GUGGAAUAAGACUUGCUGAAAAUGAAAAGCCAAGUUAGUGAUGUCUGCGUUGUAUCCACUAGUAUCGUGUUUUCUGAAAUCCUCUGCCCAGGGAGCACUCUUGUUCGGGCUGGCUCAUAGAGAAACUGGUAGCCUUGCAUGCUGUGUUGCACCUCACUGAACUCUUGAUUUCACAAGUUAACAAGGUUGUGUUGUCUUUCUUCAGUGCUGUUCCAUAGCAGUAACGCGAGGUAAGGAAUUGCUCCUUAUUGCCUGUAGCAGCUGCUGCUUGUUCUCCACAAUGUCACAUCAGUUCUAGCCAUAACAUCUUGUUUACAAUAAUCCCACGAAAUGUUCUUACUCUUGCAGGGCAUAGGUGAUUGUUUCAAUGUUAUUCCUUCUCUCCGCAGGCAAAGGAAGUCCACAGCUUCUUCCCUGAACUAGACAGCUACGUGUGAUUUAACUUGUGGAAUCUUGCUUGGACUCAUCCGUAUGGGAAAUUUGGCCAGAAAUUUCCUGUCACAGAAACAGUGGUGAUGCUGGAGAACUGCUUGUAAGGUACAGUCUCUUGGAUAAUAUCGGAUGCUGAGACAGAAAGAUGUCUUUCCAGAUGAAGAGGCUGAGUCCUUUCCAGUGCAAGAGCUCAAGUGCAAGGGCUGCCCAAAAUGUUGUGGCCCCAAAGACGAGUCACAGCCUAUCCAGUCAGUGUAAAGGAGGUGCCAAAUUGCUCAUGUUUCAGUGGUGAACAACAAUUGCCAACUUUGAAAUUGACAUCAAGCCUUGAGAUCCAACGUGGGAGUUUUGUUCUCAAAGCACGCAUCCUUAGAAGGGAAGCUAUUUCAGUGGAUGCAAAUAGCAUCAGCUGUGAACUCCACAUAGCAUAAGAAGAGCAGGGAAUAUGUGGAAGAAGAAUAAAGGAAAGGCUAAGGAGGGAUUUCAUCUUGUGCAGCUGAUGGGCACAUGAGAUGCAGCUGCUAUCCUAGAAAUGAUACAUCUACAGAGAGGAGAGUUAUUUAUUUCAGUCUCUGGACACCAAACAGUUUGGAUCUGGGACUCCAGAGCUAACAGUCAGAAAGAAUCCUGAAGGGUGCUCUCACUAGCACAUCCUAUCUGCAUCGUGCUGAUCCACUUGCUGUCAGGAGAACUGGUCCCAUCUUGGGCAGCCCUUAUGGGGUUGGGUUAUGCCCACACUGGGCGAUCCCCCCAUGUCUCUGCAUGCUGCACACCCCUCCUCUGGCCUAUGGGAGAUCAAGAGAGAGCUGCUUCCAUGCAGCUCCUGUCCCAAAGCCUCCAGCCUCAGCCCGGUUUCAGAAAUGGGAUUCACAAUCUCAACAGCAACCUGUUGCUGGUACGUAGAGAAUGCUUAUCAACAACUGCUAAGUCAUCUGCAAGCUUUUCAGCUGAUAUAAGUAUCUGCAUCCUUCUGCACAAGUGUUGUUCUCUUCGUGUCUCUGGGUUCUCUUCUGGGUUUAGCUGGCACUUGAUCUUGCCAGUAAAAUCUGAUGCUUCUUGCUAUAAUAAUGAGAAAGACUCGGGAAAGAAAAAUUAAGUGUUUAUGAGUCAGAAUUCUAGACUUAGCUCUUUUGUGCCACACUAAUGCAAUUGGAGUGAAUAAAAU
ensembl:lncRNA